GCCACCAUAGCUCAGUUGGUAGAGCAGUCGCCUUGUAAGCGACGGGUCGCGGGUUCGAAUCCUGCUGGUGGCU
rnacentral:tRNA from 1 species